rnacentral:rRNA from 1 species
AUGAACGCUGGCGGCGUGCUUAACCCCUGCAAGUCGCACGAAGCACUUUAUUUGAUUUCCUUCGGGACUGAUUAUUUUGUGACUGAGUGGCGGACGGGUGAGUAACGCGUGGGUAACCUGCCUUGUACAGGGGGAUAACAGUUGGAAACGGCUGCUAAUACCGCAUAAGCGCACAGCAUCGCAUGAUGCAGUGUGAAAAACUCCGGUGGUAUAAGAUGGACCCGCGUUGGAUUAGCUAGUUGGUGAGGUAACGGCCCACCAAGGCGACGAUCCAUAGCCGACCUGAGAGGGUGACCGGCCACAUUGGGACUGAGACACGGCCCAAACUCCUACGGGAGGCAGCAGUGGGGAAUAUUGCACAAUGGGCGAAAGCCUGAUGCAGCGACGCCGCGUGAGCGAAGAAGUAUUUCGGUAUGUAAAGCUCUAUCAGCAGGGAAGAUAAUGACGGUACCUGACUAAGAAGCACCGGCUAAAUACGUG